GUUGUUUCACGCUCUGGGCAAGUUUCUCCACAACAAAAGAGAGACUGAUAAUAUCAUUGUAUCAGAUUGCAGCGACUCUCAUGUGCAUGACCAGUUUGCAAGGUUGCCACUGAAAAUGGAUGCGCCGGAAAAGAUUCUCAGCCAAGCUCAUGGACAAGCAGGGCGGGUUGUGGAUUUUCUGCAUGAAAAUGUGCUAGAUUUUGUGGGUGACAGUGCCAUAGAAGAUGCAUGGUGUGUUUCUUCGUAUUUGGCGGAUGCUGAUCUCCUUCUCGCAGAUAU